CUUUUUAUUAUGGGUAAACUUCAAAUAGCCCCAUGUGGUUUCACACGUUCUCACUUUAAUACUCUGUAGUUUAAAGUGUAUCGAGUUAGUAUCCUGUGGUUUUAUUUUUCUCUUUUUAUUAUCUAUUUCACUAAUUUUUUUCGUUAACUCAGUGACAAAGUUAAAAUUAAAGGGUACGAAAGUGAAUAUUCGAUAAAUUAAUAUAGGUAGGGUAUCUGAAGUUUUUUGUAUAUAAUUUAACAAAAUAUUAACGAAGGAAUAAAAAAAUCAGUGACAGAUGUAAAACUAAAGGGUACUGAAGUAAAUAUUCGAUAAAUCUAGAUAGGGUAUCUGAAGUUUUUUGUAUAUAAUUUAACGGAAUAUUAACAGAGGAACCGACGAAAAGAGAAAAAUGAAACCACAGGAUACUAAAUUGAUGCACUUUGAACCACAAGGUACUAAAGUGAAUGCAAAACCAUAGGGAUGGUAUUUGAAGUUUUU
rnacentral:lncRNA from 1 species